AUGUCAGGUUUGCAUCUAAAAUCCUUUUGGUUUGGUCGGAAAGGGCACAUUUCUGGUGAUGCAGCAGCACUCUCUCGGGAUCUGCGGGCGAGGUCCUUCCGCCUGGGGUUGGUGGCAGCACAGGCCGUGUGUGUGAGCCUGGCCAGUGCCUGGGUCUGCCCCGGCUCUGCCACUGCCUGCUGUGUGACCUGGGACUGCUCACGCCACUGCCCCGAGCCUUGGCUUCCUCAUCUUACACGGCGGUGGCGAGAGCCCCUGACGCAAGGCUGUGGCGAGUUUGAACCGGGCGCUUGGAGCAAGGCUUGGCCGGGGUUCACCAAACAGACAAAGGCAACCUGGCUGGGGAGCCAGUCCUUACUUUCGAAGCAGUUGGCAGAACCGGUCUGGCUUCUGUCAGAACUGUUAGGAUGUCGGGAGGUGCCCAGUGACGACCCCUCCCUCUGGGUCCUCCUGCCCUGGCCGCUGGGCGUGGAUGAGGAGAAGGCUGGGCCCUGUGCGAACCUCCUGGGCACAGAAUCCGCCGGGCACAGAAUCUGUGACUCCCCCCCCACCCCGGAGCCCGGCCUUGCCCCGUGCUGUGUGACUGCUUCUGUGUCCGGGGCCCGAGGGUCACGCAGGGAGAGCUGCACCUCAGGGAGGCUGGGCUGGGGACAGGGUUGGCCCCUCUUGGUGGCAGUCGGGUGGGAAGGGGACACAGUGGAGCCAGGGCCCUGGACUCAGCCAGAUCUACUUUGUGAGAGACUGCAUCUGGCAAUCAGGGAUCUGGAAGUGACUCCCUUAAGCAAUUGCACCACCGCAGCCACCUGGAAAAUCUUCGCACGCCCCCAGCGUGGAGUGUCCGAGAUGCCGCGGCCCUCAAGCUUCUAUUCUCUCCAGGUGCCUCCGAUGCACACAUCUCGGCUCCCAGGACGAUCUUCCUGCCUGGUGCGGCUGCCUCCUCCACGCCACCCCUCGUUACCCGUGGUCUAGGGAGACUACAGCAGUUCCCGCUCCACGCUGCCCAAACAGCUGCUAAAUAUCUGCUGAAGUAAGAGGAAAAGCUUCGUUAUCUUUGGUUAUCGCUUUGUUCACCUUCCAGCCUCCCUGUAGUGAGGGUCCUGUCCUGACACAGUGAUCCCUGUGGCAAAUUCGAUUUUCCCCAAACGACCACAUCAGCUUUCCACUUCCCGCACACAGGAGAGCCUCUUCCUUCUUCCUUUGAAUUUCCUCACAGGGCUGCUGAGCUGACACAGCGUGAAGCUGAGGCUGGGUUGCGGAAGGUGCCACAGACUCCACCUGGGUUUCUCUCCUGUUUGACGUUCCUGGGAGCCCAGCCCCCAUGUUGUGAGGAAGCCCACGUCACCUGGAGAAGUCACAGGCACAGCCACAGUCAGCCACAGCCACAGUCAGCCACGUGCCAGUCCUGGGAGCCACCCUAGCUAACCGUGAGUGGAGCAGAGGCAGGGUGUCCACUCCAAGCCUUGCCCAAAUUUCAACUUCAACUAAAUAAAUGUGUUUUUUAAGCCGCUGAAUUAUGGGUUCAUUUGUCCCACUGUCGUAGGAACCAGAACGACCUCCAAGGACCUGUCCCACUGUAAAGACUGACAAUCUUAUGACUUCUGUCUCCUGGACUCCUCCCAAGUCUGAACACCUUCCCAACGCCCAUAGGUCGCAGCGUAUCUUGGGCAACCCCAUCCACUGCCCCAUCAAGCCGGCACCUGGCCUGUCUCUUGUUUCCUGGAGCUUGCUCAGAGAUAACAAAUUCAUCCGAUCCUCCAGGAAGGGCCGGAGUGGCCUGGCUCCCUGCCCUCCAGCUCUUAGCUCUGCGUCGCUCCUCGCGGGAGCCCUCCCUGCGACAUCUCCCGCUGCCUCUCAGCGCUGAGCUUAACACGGUGGUGUCACCUGGGAGGGCUGAGUCUUUCUGUCUCUUCUCCAACAGCCUCUGAGCUCCAUCAGGGCCCCAUGGCAGUGAUCGCUCCUGUCCUUCCAUAGCCCAGCGCCAAGCCUAGCCCUGCUCUGGGCCGGGACAGUGCUCAGGACAGGACAGUGUGGGAGCCAGCCCCUGGCCCUGACCCUGGCCCUCAGAGCCAGUGCUGUUGCUUCCCUACCUCACUGGAUGUUGCAGGAAUGGGUUAGAGAUCUGAGGACUGCAGAGAGUUAGGGGUGAGGGGAGAAUGAACCAGUCAUGGGGGCCCCCGGUAUCUCUGAGCGAGCAGAGGAGGAAGGUGGCGCUGGCAGGAAGGACAGGUGCUGGCUGUGGGUUCCAGCCACUUCCGAGGUGCAGACCUGGGGAGAGGAGGCAGGUGGGGCCUGCUCAGGGAGCCCCCGAAGAAGUUCUGACUUGGCUGUGCUCCAAUCUGCCCCUGCACAUUCCCCACGCCUGGCAGGCGCUUUUUCUCCUCUUUAAAAAGGCACUCCCUGGGCCUGGUGGAAUGAGACAAGCAUGGAAAUCCCUGGGCUGCUCUCAGGGAUGGAAGAGGCUGGGCAUCCCGGCGGCUCAGGGUGGGACUUGGCCUGCAGAGCCGAGCAGACGCCCUCUUUCCUCCUUUUCUUUUCCUUUGGUUCAUUUAAUUUUUAAAAUGUAACAGACUGUGCCCGAGCAUGGUGGCUUUUGCCUGUAAUGCUAGCACUUCGGGAGGCCAAGACAGGCGGAUCACUUGAGCCCAGGGGUUUGACACCAGCCUGGGCAACAUGAGGAAACCCCAUGUCUGCAAAAAGUAUAAACCUUAGCUGGGUGUUGCGGCACACGCCUGUGGUCCCAGCUACUUGGGAGGCUGAGGUGAGAGGAUCGCUUGAGCCUGGGAGGUGGAGUCCGCAGUGAGCUAUGAUCACGCCACUGCACUCCAGCCUUGGCCACAGAGCCAGAGCAUGCCUCAAAAAACAAAAAAGUGGGCCGGGCGCGGUGGCUCAAGCCUGUAAUCCCAGCACUUUGGGAGGCCGAGGCGGGCGGAUCACGAGGUCAGGAGAUCGAGACCAUCCUGGCUAACACGGUGAAACCCCGUCUCUACUAAAAAUACAAAAAAAAAACUAGCCGGGCGCGGUGGCGGGCGCCUGUAGUCCCAGCUACUCGGGAGGCUGAGGCAGGAGAAUGGCGUAAACCCGGGAGGCAGAGCUUGCAGUGAGCUGAGAUCCGGCCACUGCACUCCAGCCUGGGUGACAGAGCAAGACUCCGUCUCAAAAAAAAAAAAAAAAAAGUGACAGACUGCAACAAAGGCACACCUGGGCAGAGGCUGCAACAAAGGUGCACCCGAGUAGAGGCUGCACAGGAGCUCCUUGCACUAUCCCUGCAACCCACCUUUAGGUUUGAAAAUACACAAAAGUAAAAAGUUACAAAAAAGUAAUCAUCUACUUUAAACAUCCAGAAAAGUAUAGAGAAUAAUAUAACAACCCUGUCCACACCGUCUAGCCUUAAUGAUAUCUCAACACUUCCCCUUUUUUCCAAGUCUUUUGACUUUUUUAAAGAAAGAAGUUUUCACAAAUAGAGUUUAAGCCCCGAGACAUAGUUCUAAAGGUGUCCGUGUGUCUGCACACAAGACUCAUGGUGUCCGUGUAUCUGCACACACGAGACUCAUGGUGUCCGUGUAAUCACCUCCUACUGCUUCAUAAUAUCCUAUAACCAGUUUCUCAGCUUCCAUUCUGCUACCCUACAACUACUCUCCAGUAAUCCUAUGUGUAGGACCCUCCAAGAACCCCCACAUCACUUGGAGCAAAAGCCAGAGGCCCUGCAGCUCACCCCAAUGUCCUCCACCUGGUCCCCACAAACCUCUGGCACCCUCGUCUCCUUGCUGCUCCCUCUAGGCCUGGACGGCUCCAACCCAGGACCUUUGCACAGAGGUUCCUUUUUCCCAGACCCUCUGCCCCAGAUGUCUGUUUGAGCAACCACCUCCAUGCCCUCAAGCUUGAUCUUCAACAGCACCUCUCAACAAGCUCUCUUUUCACUACUUGAAAACCACAGCUCACUCCCACUCCCACACUAUACUUUCUAUUUUGUUUCUUUACCCCUCUUUCCUUUUUCUGUGGCCUGCAUUACCUGGCUGUGUAUGUAUGUAUGUAUGUGUGUAAGUGUGUAUGUGUGCAUGUAUAAGUGUGCAUGUGUGUAUGUGUAUGUGUGCAUGUAUAAGUGUGCAUGUGUAUGUGUGUGCAUAUGCACAUGUAUGUAUACAUGUGUGUAUGCAUAUGUGUGUAUAUAUACAUGUGUGUACAUAUGCAUGUGUGUAUGUGUGUGUGCAUGCAUGUAUGCAUGUGUAUAUAUGCAUGUAUGCAUAUGUAUCUGUGCACACGUGUAUGCAUGUGUGUAUGUAUGCAUGUGUGUAUGUAUGCAUGUGUGUAUGUGUAUUUGUGUGUGUAUUCCAUAGCAUGUGUUGCCCUCUGACAUGCUGUGCAUUUUUCUUGUUUAUUGUAUUAUUAUUAAUGGCCUCUCUUCCCCACCAGGAUCCUUGUCUGUCUUGCUCAUUGAUACAUCCCAAGUACCUGGAACAGUGUCUGGUAUAUUGUGGAUGUUUAGUACAUCUUGAGAGGCUCAAUGGGUGAAUAGUGUUAAUUUUCAUGGUUUAAAGCUUUAUAUAAAUGGUACCAUACUGGCUGCCGUACUCGCUGUGUUGUACUGUGCACUUGCAUUUUUGCUCCUCGUUCUGUUUUUGGCAUUUAUUCUCAUUAAUCCAUGUAGUUCUCAUUUAUUUUAACUGCCAUGUGGUAUUUCGCUGUAUGUGCCCAUUUCUUUAUCGCUUCUCCCCGUGUUGGAUAUUCAGGGUGUGUCAGGUGCUUUGGACACACAGCGUUGUGAGGAAUAUUCCCUACGCGUCUUCUUGUACACGCAUACUUCCUGCGGCAGUUUCUCUCUCACAGUGGAUGGCCUAUUAGAAUGACUAGGGAGUUCUGAGCUAUUAGUUUGUUUCCCGAAAUUCUGGUUCAGUUGAUCUGGUCUGGAUUCAGGGCCGCAGUAAUUUGUUUUCUUUUAAAGACAUUCCUAAUGACUUUAACGACAGCUAGGGUUGAGAACCACGGCUCCCGGCUCUAAGGAGCAGAUCUGUGUUUGUGUUCCUGGGCAUAUCUAGAAAAAAAACAUUGCUGGCUUGUCCUCUACGGCUCCAGUUCUCCUAAAGGUUGCUUUCAAAGUGGCGGCACCACGCGUGAUCCCAGCGGCGAAUGCAGAUUCCCACGUUUUCAUUAACACUCUUUAAGUUGUUUGAUCCUCGGGGUUUUCCGAUAGGAUGAGGGUGGAACGCAUCCUCUUGUUCCCACAGCGUUCCCCUAAUUCCAGGGACUGAGUUUAUUGGUCGUUAAAGCAUCUUCUUUUGUGAAGGGACCGCUGAUGUCCUUGACAUAAAGAUGUUAAAAAUACAUUUAGAAGGAUCUUUAUUUUUUUCCUGCUGCCGUACGAGGAACCCUUUCCGGCCCCGUGUUUCCUUGCCCUUCUUUCCAGCCGCAGAUUUUACUCAGAACAACUUCAGUGCUGUGGACACAAAAACGCAGGCCUUGGAGAGGCCGGUCAGCCCUGCCUCGGGGCUGCUGAUGAGGUGCCGGAUGCGUGUGUUCCUCGUUUACUGGUUCCUCGCAGACUGGGUUGUAGCACUCUGUGCCACCCUCUGAACACAGAGAUCCAGGGCCGGCUGGCCCUGCGGCCCCGAGGAGCUCCGUCACCGGCCAGUGGGGAGGCGAACCCGUGGUGACCCACCCAGAGGCACUGCCAAGGGCUGAGCGUGGCGCCAGCGGCGGGAGGCCCGGGGUCACCGUCCCAGGCCGGGCUCCCACCCGCGUCCGCAGGGUCCUCUCCAGGCACCUUCCAUCUGGGGUCUGGCUUCCA
ensembl:lncRNA